CCUACGGGGGCUGCAGUGGGGAAUAUUGGACAAUGGGCGAAAGCCUGAUCCAGCCAUGCCGCGUGUGUGAAGAAGGCCUUCGGGUUGUAAAGCACUUUCAGUGGGGAAGAAAGCCUUGGGGCUAAUACCCUCGAGGAAGGACAUCACCCACAGAAGAAGCACCGGCUAACUCCGUGCCAGCAGCCGCGGUAAUACGGAGGGUGCGAGCGUUAAUCGGAAUUACUGGGCGUAAAGCGCGCGUAGGCGGUCUGAUAAGCCGGUUGUGAAAGCCCCGGGCCCAACCUGGGAACGGCAUCCGGAACUGUCAGGCUAGAGUGCAGGAGAGGAAGGUAGAAUUCCCGGUGUAGCGGUGAAAUGCGUAGAGAUCGGGAGGAAUACCAGUGGCGAAGGCGGCCUUCUGGACUGACACUGACGCUGAGGUGCGAAAGCGUGGGUAGCAAACAGGAUUAGAUACCCGAGUAGUC
rnacentral:rRNA from 1 species